CCCCCCAAAAUUCUUCAUUGGGGUUUCCAUCCAGGUCUUAUUUCAGGUCUAGCUAGGCUUGUGUUUUGACUUCUGCCCAAAUUUUAUUCAAUGUUUACAUUUACUGAUAUCCAUCUCAGUUGUCCUGUCAGCAAGAUUGAUCACCUGUGUACAUGUGAUUGUAUCUAGGUACCCUUGAGAUCCUGGACAAGAGGAAGCCACACCUUUUUGGCUUGCUCUCCUCUACUAGAUAAUCUAACAAAUUGUUUUCUAAAAUGAUUUCUAAUUUUUUCCCCUCAUGGACAGCAAUCACAUCCCCUUUUGACUCAGUUCUCUUAAUCUGCAUCCAAAUCUAAAUGCAUACCUGACUUUCUUCUUCUCUAUUAUACAUUUUAAUAGUAAAUAGUUAUUUAAACCCAAGUUUUCUAUUAUUUCUAGCCUAUCUUGCCUGUAAUUAAGAAUUAGAUUUGUAAUGGAUUUUUGUCUCUCUUUUUUUAAUCUUUUGAAGGAUAAACUCAUCAUGGAGGUGAUUCAAGGUUUUAUUAGCUUCUCGAAGGAGUAUUGAAGUAAACCCCUGGGUCCAAUGUCUUUGAUCCAAAAUUUUAUGAGUCUUGGUGACUAUCCCAGAGUCUUGCAAGGUACCAUAUGCUGUCUUGCUGAUCAUACAGAUUUCUGUUUUAAAGUGAACAGAGCUAUCAGAAUUGCCUCUUGUAUCCUUAUUGAGUAUCCUUUCUGUGCUUUGACCAAGUAAACUUACUUUUAUUAGUUAUUGAAUGACAUAUGUGUGUUUCAUUUCAUUCCAGCAUUGGACUUAAAUAACUAGGGGAACAGGCUAAAUUAGUUUCAUCCUACAAUAAUUAUAAAUGGAAGAUAGCAUUGCAUUUGGAGAAUGACAUUAUCUGAUGGAGGAUAAAAAAAUCAUAUAUUCUACACUGAUUUCAAUAUCAUAAUUUAUAUAACUUUAAGAGUCAUAAUGUGAUCAGCUAGCCUAGAAAAGACUUCAUUCAACAAGCAUCUAGUCUACUUGCCAAAUGCAGAGAUACAGCAGAAGAAGGAACUCUAAAGUGAUAAAAUUUUAUGGAGAAGGUUGGUGUAAACAUGAGCAAUAGCAUCUCAUAAAUAAGAAGAAGCAGUGAAGUAGAAAAGUUUAUAAGACAUUUGGUGAGAGAUCUAACUAAGCCAAAUCAUCUGGUGGGUGAAGGAUGAAACUGAAAGGAGGACAAGAAACAUAAGAAAAAUGGAAAAGAUGUGUCAAGAUUUUUAUAAUAAACAUUUUUUUUUUCUGUCAGUGCUAAAGGAACCAUAACAUUUGGACUUGAAAAUUGCACAGCUCAAUGUGCUAUUUGAGGCAAUAGAAACAGCACUAGAGAAAACAAAGAUGGAAAAGGAACCUUGACUGAAUUAAGUAUGCAUAAAAGAAUAUUGUGUUGAAAGUUAAAUAGUUGUGAGCACUUGGAGACAUUUUUUCUCAAGGUAUUUGUAAAUAGAGGCUACCAAAGGCUUGGGGAAAAAAAACUGUUUCACUUAAAAAAAAAUUAAUUUCUAUCCAGUAGCUGGUAAUGUGUUAGCCACAAUUAUGAAAGAUCUAACUUUACAUUCUGAAUUUUUUUGUGGUAUGACUUUAACGGUGUGAAUCCAUUAAAAUUUUAUUGUAGCAUAAUUUAAAAUAUACUACCCUAAAUCUGUUUUCUAUUCACUCUUGUGUUUUUCAAAGUUUAUUCCAUUAGUUUUUUUUGUGCCAUAGGAAAUACCCAAUAAACCCUCCUGUGUUACAAAAUAAAACAGAUAAGCAAAGCCAAUCAAUACAGUAAUAAUAUCUAUCAGCAUAUGCAACAUCAAAUAUCCAUACCUGACUCUUUUCUUAGAAGACUGAAAUGUUCUUCUUCAUCUGUACAUUAGAAUUAAUAUUGAUAAUUGAGUUUAAUUAAAUUAGCUGCCUUUUUUUUGGUUUCAUUAACUUUUUUUCAGGGGGUGUAUGUGGAAGAGACAGCCUACGAUUUCAUCAAUAUAGGGAAAAGAUUAGGUAAUGUAGAAUGGCAAUCAAUCUGAAAUUUAGCCUUAGAGAAUUUCUGGGGACACUGAGGAAUUAAAUGACUUGCUUUGGGUCACAAAACCAAUAUUUGUUAGAGGGGUAACUUGAACCCAGAACUUCCUUUACUCUUAUAUUAUGUUGAUAUUUCUACUUUUUUACAUUUGAUUUUGAGGUUUUGAUGUCCUAUUACAUGGUCUUUUUUUAUGUAGAGAGUGAAAAAGCUAUAUUUCUGUAACCAUUCAGUUUUAUGUUUAACUUUCUGAACAUUCUGUCUACCUCUUUAGUUUCUCCUUUGUUUAUUUUUUGGUUGAACUUAUCAAGUUCUGAGAGGGGACAGUUGAGGUUUCUGUUGUGCCUCCCCAUGUAAUUUUGCUGUCUAUUUCUUCCUGUAACUCACUUAACUUCUCAUUUAAGAAUUUAGAUGCUAAACCACUUAGUGCAUAUAUAUUUAAUAUUAUUGCUUCAUUAUUUAUGGUGCCUUUUAGGAAGAUGUAGUCUCCUUCCUUAUCUUGUUUAAUUAGAUGUGUUUGUCUGAGAUCAGGAUUGCUACUCCUAUUUUUUUAAUUUUUUACUACAGCUGAAGCAUAAUAGAUUGUGCUCCAGCUCCUUACUUUUAUUCUGUGAGGUGUUGCUCUCCUUUAAAUUUGUUUUUCAUAGAUAACAUAUUGUAGGAUUAUGUUUUUUGAUUCACUCUCCUAUCCAUUUCUUUUUAUUGGAUAGUUUUAUCUCUUUCACGUUCAUAGUUGUAAUUACUACCUAUGUAUUUCACUGAAUCCUCUUCUUCCUCCUAUUUAUCCCCUUCUCCUUUCAUCCUUUCCUUACUCACUAGUGAUUUGCUUCUAGACAGAAGCCCUAUCUGGAAGAAAGGGGUGUCUUGGUGUAGGCAUUUCCUUGCCAAAGAGGGCAAGAAAUAACACAAUGUAAAAAAAUGAAAAAAUAAAACAGAAUGUGAAACAUCUUAUAAGAAAAAUAACAGAUCUAGAGAACAGAUCAAGAAGAAUAAUUGGACUACCUGAAAGCUAUGACUGAAAAAAAGUACCUUGACAUAAUUAUGCAAGAAAUAACCAAAGAAAUUGUCCUGGAGUGAUAGAAUAGAAAGGGAAACUAGAAAUAGACAAAACCCACCUCUUACUGCCUCAAAUAGAUCCUAUGUGAAAAACAUUUAAGAAUAUUGUUGCUAAAUUUAGAAACCACAGAUCAAAGAGAAAAUUCUAUGAAAAACAAAUAAACAAACAAAAAAACCUGAUCCAAAUAUGCUAGAGUUACAUUUGAAAUUGUGCAGGAUUUAUCAGCAGCUAUAAUAAAAGACCACAAAUUCUGGAAUAAUAUACAUUGACAAUCAAAAGAACUAGGCCGGUGGUUAAAAUAUAUAUCCAACAAAACUAACCAUAAUAUUGAAUGACCAUAAUUGUCAUUUAACAAACUUGAAAAUUUUCAGGACUUUGUCUCAAACAAACUUAUACUUAAUAGAAAAUUUAAUAUGAGUCAAUAUCAAUGAUUAAUUUCAAGGAUUGUUUGUUUGAUCUGACCCCAUCAUUUUUUUUUCUUUAUUAAAACUUUUUAUUUUUCAAAACAUGGACAAUUUUUCAACAUUAGCCCUUGUAAAAUCUUGUGUUCCAAUUUCCCCUCCCCU
rnacentral:lncRNA from 1 species